CUGUGGAAAUUGUGUUUGUUGGACUGGUUAAAUUUAAGUUUCUAAACCAAACUUUUUCUCUGUAAACCGAAUAAUGACCAAAACUGAAAAAUAAUAAUAAGAAGAAAUAAAAAAAAUAGCAGAAUUCUCUCUCACACAAAUUUUCUCUUUCGUAACUUUUGCUUUCUCAGAUCUAUCUCUCACACCUUCUCAGAUCCACAGUUUUGUCUCUCUCUCACCUUCUCAAAUCCAUCUCUAUUUCUUCUCUUCCUUUGAUUUACCGCCUUAUCAGACCCCAACCUCCGAUUUAACGCCUUAUCGCCCACCACCGCCUCUGAAUCAUCCUCCCCCAAAUUGUAAGGCUCCUGUGGAUCUAAAACUAAAGGUAACGACGAUUCUAACUCUGAAGUCACUGUCUCCGGCGUCGAUGUGGCUGCUCUUAAUCCUACGCUGCAUGGUUUAUCUCCUCGCCUAUGAAACAAGUUAUAUGGACAAGUACACAAUAGUUUAUUAAUGGACAUGUACACAUAAGUUUUGUUCCGAAGAAAAAAUUGGGAGAUAAACGUUAGGUUUGUUGUGUUCACAAAUACACAUUAUUGAAGCUAUGUCCUCGUGAACACGUCCAUUCUAGUAUCAAUAGAUACCAAUGAUCUCAUCUUCGCUUAAUAUGAAAACAAAUAGAAAAAAAAUAUCCAAUAUGUCCAUGUCCAUAUAGAUAUAACCAUAUUUUAUUAAAUGCUUAAAAUGUAUCACGUUUGGAAACGUGGAUGCGUCCAUGUUGAAAUGUCGUCGUCACCAACGUCGCCGACGGUGAUGAAGAAGUUGUGCCCAAUCAGCAGAAAGGCAGAGGAGAAAGAAGAUGAGCCAGGCUUUGUGGAAAAGGUACUCUGUGGUGCUAUCAGCGCGAGACAGAGAAAAAGAUGAAGAAGAUGGAGAUUGUGGUGGUGGUGGUGAAAAAUUUGAGGUCUCCAUUGAUGGAGAAAAAAAUGACUAUAUUUGUGAUAAGGGGGUGGAUAAGUCCAUCUUUACGUGGAUGGUUAGACUAUAUUCAAGUUACCAUUUGAAUUGAGAUGAUAUUGUGAACGUGACUAUAUUCAGACCAUAUUGUGGACGUGACUAUGUGACUAUAAAAAAUGAAUAUGGAUAUAGACAUAUUUAGUGGGGAGAGCAUAAAUAAUAAGUUUUAUUAUAGCC
rnacentral:lncRNA from 1 species